UACGUAGGGUGCAAGCGUUGUCCGGAAUUAUUGGGCGUAAAGAGCUCGUAGGCGGUUUGUCGCGUCUGCUGGGAAAACUCGGGGCUUAACCCCGGGCCUGCAGUGGGUACGGGCAGACUAGAGUGCGGUAGGGGAGACUGGAAUUCCUGGUGUAGCGGUGAAAUGCGCAGAUAUCAGGAGGAACACCGGUGGCGAAGGCGGGUCUCUGGGCCGUAACUGACGCUGAGGAGCGAAAGCGUGGGGAGCGAACAGG
rnacentral:rRNA from 1 species